AUAUUUGAAGAAUAAAUUAAAAAAAGAAAGAAAGAAAAGGAUUAAAGUUAUAUUUAAAUUUAUUUUAUUUAACCCUUCAAAAUAAAAACAGAAAUUUAUAACUUAACAAUUUUAAAAGAAAUACUGGAAUAAAUAUUAGUGAAAUUAAUUUAAUAUAAAUCAAAGCUAUGUCUCUAAUGAAAUAAUUAAGAUAUUAAAAGAAAGUGGACCUACCUAAACUAUCAAAGAGCUUGAUACCCAUAUUUGUGACCACUCAACUGACAUUUUGAUGCACAUGUUGCUGUUCCACAUCUUAUGUGGGGAUUAAUUUAAAAUUUUAGAUUAGAUACCUUAAUUAAACACAUUACUUUAAAUAAUGGAGGACAAAUGAACCUAUUGUCAUGAUAUGCCAAAUACACCAUAUCGAAUUGAUAAAUAAGCAUAUACUUUAUCCUAUUGAAUUAAAGUUUGACAACCAAAUGGUAAUAUCUAUGAAAUGGCUGGUCCAAAGCCACUGUAUCUUUUUUACCAUUACUUUAUUGCAAAAAGGUGACUCUUCAUGUACCGGAAUAUAUUUAGCAUUGUUCGGCCAUGAAAGUUUUUUAUACUUUUAAAUGUGGGGUUUGGACAAAGUUGUUUUCUUUGUUAUAUUCUAUGUGCUCGGGCUUCUGUCCAUUGCAAUAUAAAAUAUAGCAAUCAAUCUGGCAUCUCCACUCUUAUAACCUACACUUUCACACACAAUAAUAGAAAUGUUCUUCAUGUUUUAAACUAUGCGAAACAUAUGGAAUCAUGGCAUUUCUAUAUAUUCUAGAUUGGACCAAAACUCAAUCCACGUAAGACUAUAUUACUUAUGUCUAAUUAAGUGGAGCAAUGAAUAUCCAUAUUUUUAGAGAUACUCUCUAUUAGGGUCUAUCAGAUCCUAUUAAACUGAGACCCUAUGAACCGUUAGAUGAGACUGUUAAGAUUGAUUAAGAAUAUAUAUGUUGAUAUUCUUUACAAUGGAGUAUGAUUGUCUGUGAAGACAAUAAAAAUUUAUGUAUUAUUUUUAAUUAAUGUGGAGAUUGUUGGGGUCGAUGGAAAUAUACAUGUUGAAGAAGUCACACAUCGCUUAGUUUUGUGAUUGAAGAGAGUUCAAAGUUAUAUAUAGGAUACAAGUUCUUUGAAGUCCUACAUCGCUUAGUUUUGUGAAGGAAGAGAGAGUCCAAGAGUAUAUAUAUGAUUCAAGUUCUUCAUUCCAAGAUGCACAAAUCAAAAACACUUUAAGCUUGUAUUUGACUUUCUUUGUUCCCUUAUAGUGUUGUGAGAUGUAGUUAAAUAUUUUUUUAGGGUGUGGGUGUACUAGGGAGGGGUCUGAGUUAGUUGAGGGUAUAUUAUAUGUUGUAACAAUUUUCACAGUGUUAUUUUCUUGUUGUCUAUUGACAACGGUCGUGGUUUUUUCUUCGAUUUUGGAGUUUCUACGUUAUGUUCUUGUGUUGUGAUUGUGUUCCUCUUUUUCUCUAUGUUUUGUUUGUUUUUCCCCAACAACUGAUAUAAGAGCUUUUGGUUUGAUUUGAGGAUAAACGUUAUUAGUAUGUUUUGUGGUUGUAGUUUUUUUG
rnacentral:lncRNA from 1 species